UGGGAAUGCUUCUGUGCCCUCAUUUCCCAACUGAGUUUCUAUCUGUGCUCUGCUUUCUCCCAUCCCCACCCCCUUUAUGAAUUGAGGGGGAGAAAUCCAGACCAUGCAGCCUGGUAAAAAGCCUUUUAGAAGGAAAAAUGGCUGCCUGGUAUCUUGAAGAUUUCAAAGUGGUUUCCUUGGAUUAACAGAAAUAUUCUGAACUCUACAAAGAAAACCAAAUCCUUUUCUGGGAACAGAAUUCUUUGACAUCCCAUCUCUGCUCAUCAGGGCACUUCCAUUCCAUCUGAUGGUGAACAAUAUAUGCCACCCAACAGUACAGGGCCUAGGAUGAUUAUGAUUCAGAGGCUGAUGAGCCCCACCCCUUCCCAAUAGAAACGAGAUACAUCCACGGAUCUGGAGGUCAAGAUGCCUCUGAGGCUGUAGGGGAUUGAAUUACAUUGAGUAAUUUCUGCCACAGGAAUGCAACUGCUAGACUAUCCUUGGUUCAGACAACUGUUGUGGCCCAUGAGGAAGGAGCAGAAGCUAAUAAUGAAAGGCAGCCAGCCUUGAUCUGAUGACAUCCAGAGAUGGUGAAUCCUCCACUUGUUCUUGUGAGCGGAAGAGCACAUGCAUGUGGAUCAGGUGGAAUGAAAGAAGAAGACUGUCUUACAUGUUCUCAGAGCUUGUUCAUUCAUCCAGACACCCACCCAAACUGCCUUCAAAAAACAGAAAAAUGACUCCUCUUGACCCUCUUUUAUAUUCUCCUAUAGAUGUUUCUCAUGAAUUAAGCUGUGUGGGAUAUCUCCAAGUUCCCAUCUGUUUGCACUGGGAUCACAGAGCUCUCUCUUGUGAUUUUAAAAAUAUGUUUUGUGCUGAACAUUUCUGAAAAUGAAAAUACACUUUUCCCCCGAACUUUCAUUGAUACUGAUCCUAAUACCAAUCUAGCUCGUGAUCUCUUUACAACAUUAGAUAAGUUGAAGAAUUUUGUGUUGAAGAAUUUUUGUCUCUGAUCUGCAGUGCAGAUUUCAGGCCUAAGCCACCUGCCAUUUACCACUGUCAGAAGACAGGACACUGGGCUAGAUGGACCUUUGUUCUGACCCAAUAUGACUGUUUUUAUGUAAUCCUGUUCCUUUGAAAAUCAAUGAGAGGAAGAUUGGGCUCCUCAAAUGCAUGUUUUAUACUUAUUCCGUAGGUUGAACUCCCAUGGCUAUCAGUGGAAGUGCUGGACAGAGAACAAAUGAAGAAUAUGCUAUGGAUAUCUGCAGUAGAGCUCAGAUAAGAUGCUUUUAAAAGCCCAUGAUGCUUAUAUGUCUGCAUGUAUACAUAUUCAAGCCUACCUGGAACCCUAGCUAUAUAGCCAUGAUUUUUGGCAUGUGGGGACUUUUUCCUGACGGGUGGAUGGACGCUGUGGUAACUGUUCAGUUGAUUUCACCAGGAAUCUCAAGUACUGCCAAGUUAAACCCCAGACUGCAUAGCUGGUUUAUAAAGAGCUCCAGGAGCUCGGCAACAACAAUACAGUGAUGCAAAGGACCCAACCAGCGAACUCUGGGGAUCACGAGGUUUCUUCCUCCCUCAAGGUAACAUUCUGUAAGAAUGGAGUUUGGUUGGGGUCAUAGUAAGGAGAAAAAAAUAGUGGAACUAUUUUCAUGCACCACUUUCCAUACUCACUCCUCUUUGGGCACUUCUCCCUUUGCCUUUUCAUGAUGUCUUCUGCUGCUCUCUCCUGGAGCUUGCUGUCCCACUCCCUUUGAGGCUCAUCGGUGCUUUCUUUUGCUGUCCGUUGGAGGCUGCUUGCCUCUUUUUCCUGUUUUCUGUGGAAGUAGCAUCAUCUCAUUCCCUGUCAUCUCCUUCCCCUUCAGCUGGCAUGAAUGAAAUUUGGGUUAGGUGGCAGAAAGAAGAUGGCAUGCUAGACCUUUACUUUUGCAGAUUAGGGAACCAAUUGGUUGACUAUGCAGAAGACCCCAAGUAUGUUUCAACCAGACCUGGAAAUUCUCACUGAAAUCAAUGAGAGCUACAUACAUGUAUCUGAGAGCAGAACUCAGCCUUUAAGAAUUAAAAAUCUUGUUUUCAAACGUCAUACAGUUGAGAGAAGAGAAAAGCAGAGCAUAUGUUUAUAAGCAAAAUAAUUUGUAAACAGUGGGCCAGAUUAUCAGCUUUUUGUCCAGCUGUUUUGCCAUUCUCAAGCAACAAGAAGCAGCCCUUUAACUCCCCUAAUAGCUUUGGGGUCUCCUGGCAUAGGGCAUUCCCCAUGGUACAUAACCAUAGCUUUGCCACUUGCUUUCCCUAGGUUAGGAUGUGGCUGGAGUGUGCAGUGUUCCAGAAAUCUCCUGUCACAAGAACAGUCCAUAGGGACUAAAAAGUGCAGAAAAUCCUACAAUUAGCAUGAUGCAAGAGUGAGUGGUUAAACUGGGCUGUGUAUAUUAAGAUCACGCAGCAAGCUGUAGAUCUCUGGAUCUCUCCAGAAGGAUUCUCAACUUGAAAUAGCUGGAAGUGUCUUUGUGGUGUUCAAGUUUUCUGUAUUUAGUGAACAUUAAGGUUCUGAUAGCUCAGCAGGAAAUUAUCAGUUUUUCAAGUUUCCAGAUUUCUAGAUUCCCCUCUGCCAGUCUUAGAUUCAAGACAUCAAAGACCUGACUGCACGGGUGUAUACCUUAAAUUACCCAGUACAAAAAUACAGUUAUGUUAGAUAUGUCUUAUUGAUUCUACCUGAACAAAACAGUGGAGCAAAUCACUGUUAUCUAUCCUAUUAUCAACCGCAGAGCUCAGGAGCAAAGCUGCUUAAAAAUGUGGCUAUUUUGCACAAUUGAGCACCUUUUCAGUAGGACAGGUGAACUCCUCCAGAUAAAACAAAAACCAGUGACCUGAAACACCAUUCAUAAUUUGGAAUGAACUCUAACAGCAGGGUUUUGAUGUUCUUUUUUUUUCCAUGUUUUUUUAAUUUUCGUGGCAGUCUCUUCUUUCUAGGUUCUCAGAGAAACCAUACUUGCAGUGUUUCUGACCUGGUGGUAGCAGAAUGUAUCUUUACACAUCAUAUUCCUGAAUCAUGCCAUAUUUCUAGCUCAGUUUUUCCACUUCUGAGAGUUUAGGUGUGAAAUCUAGGGUUACCUGGACUGAUCCUCUGAAAAAAUUGACAUUUUUAACACCUGGGCAUAUAUGCCCUAGCUUUAUCUCAGCAGAUGAGAAGGGUUAGAACUUCUGGGGUGGGUUUAAUUCUUGUAGCAGAAAAAUGAGUUGAUACAGACUAAAGCUGUUCUUUACUAGCCUUUUUUUAUAUAUAAUAUGCAUAUAGUUCCUACCAAUGCUGUAGCUGAAAGAGCAAAAAUAGAAGCAAAGCUUACAUAUAUACAGCACAAGAUUUCAAAAACUCAUCAAAGCAGCUCUGGUCAAAAUGUUAGUCAGGCCAUUUGCACACAUAAGCUGUUCCCAAAAGCUAAGCAAAACUUGUGUGCCUUAAUUCCACUCCAAACAGAUUCAAAUCUCUUGGUAACAAAAUGUGUAUGUGGCUGUCCUUCAAAGAAAAGAAAAGAAAAAAAAGGAAAAGAAAACUCACAGCCCACUGUGUCCAGCUCCAGAUAGGUACCAACAUGUCUAGGGAUUGUCUGGAUUAGUACAUUAAACUAUUUUAAGAUGACAUAUUUGCAGGAAGUUCAGCUUUUGAAAUGUGAUUCCCUCUUUAAAAGCCUUAAGCAUUGAUGGGUAAAUUAAGCCAAGGAAUAAGCAGGUGAAAAUCCUGUUGCCUUCAAUGAGAUUUGCACCGAUUUAUGACUCAAAUUAAAUCCAAUCCAUGUAUUAACCCCCAUGGAAACCUUUCAGGAAGUCUCCCUUGAGGUAUUCAUUUCAAUAAAGAUAUUGAUUGAAUAUCUUUAUCGCUUUUCAAGUAAAGUUAGCAUGAAUUUUCAGUUUUUUUGAGGCAAAAAUAUGCAUGAAAUCAAACUAUUUUUACCCCUUUUUUGACCCAAGUGGUUAGCUAACUUUCAGGGUUGUGUGAGUUGUUUCAGUUAGGAGGAGAAAUUAGUGAUGGAGUCAAGUAUUUCUUUGCUACAGUCUUGUUUGUUACAGAGAAUAUACAUAAUGUCCUGUUUCCCUGAACACAAGAGUCAAGCAACAAGAGACACUUCCUUUGCUCACAGUUCCAAGUCCCAUUCAAGCCAGCACAUAGCCCAAGAACUCUCUAUCUCUCUCACCUUUUUCUCAGGGUGGCCCUGUCAAUGCUCUGUGACUGUGUCUGGUUCUUCCUUGCUGCCCUCUCUCUCCGCUUCAUUGGUCUUCUGCUGCUUCUUUCAUAGACAAACACACCUCCAACCCAACAAUAGCCAGUGAAACCUCUCUGCCAACAUGUGCCUGUGUUUUGGGUGGAGGAUCCUAUUGUUUCAGCCACCUACAUCUAUAAAAAGCUUAAUUGUUUCUUACAUGGAUCCCAAAAGGAGGGUCACUGCUACACUCACCAGUUUCAACAAGGUUUAAUCCAAUCCAGAACACGCAGUAUUUUUGUACACACGCAAACAGCCAGAGUAAAACAGGGCCCAAAAUUCACUGACUUACACAAAAUCUGGAUUUUUAAAAAAAAAGGAACAAAAAGAGCUGGCAUUUUCUGUGACUUUUAUGUCCAUCAGGAAGGACUAUUCCUAUUUUUAGCAGAGCACUGUGCCAACAGAUGGUUGGACAUGAGGAAAUUAUUCUUGGAUCAUGAUGGAGGAAAACAGCCCCUCUUUCCUCCAAGUAUUAACUAAUACGACACAUAUAUGUAUAAUAAUCAUCAGAGAUCUGACAUUUAUACAACAUCUUUCAUUCUGGAGAAUCUUAAAAUAUUGUACAAACUACACAUACAUUUUGGGAUUUUAAAAGCAACAUGAGGGAAGUUAUCCUCAUAUCUUCCACAUUUGAAAACUUUGAUUUAAAUUCACAAGUAGUUUGCUAUAAACAUGUAACACCACUGAGCUGAGGGCAAAUGGCACAGCCUAUAGCUUAAGAGUGAGAUGAGGCAAUUUUUUGCUUGGAAGACCAUAGUAACAUGUUUAAUCUUAUGAAAUAUGCCAUUGGGUUUUCAGUCCUCUUGGAGACAGACUUGAUCUUGGUUUUUUAAGGUCCUAUCUAUGGCAUCUUUGUUCAUUCCCAUUUGGCUGCAGCAUAACAUUACCACUAUAUGGGAUAAAAUAUGCCUCCAGUACUGUCCCAUGAACUUGGCACAUCACUUUCAAGCAGGGCUGGCGCUACCAUUUAGGCAGCCUAGGCAAUUGCCUAGGGCGCCAGAAUAAAUGGUGGGCGCCGUUUUGCCGGAGGGGGCGGCAGGCGGCUCCGGUGGAGCCGCCGCAGUAGUGCCUGCGGACGGUCAGGUGCUCGCGCGGCUCCGGUGGACCGCCCACAUCACUGCGGCAGCUCCAUUGGAGCCGCGGGACCAGCGUGCGGGGCAGCGAAAUUGCCGUCCGCCUAGGGCGCUCAAACCCGUAGCGCCGGUCCUGCUUUCAAGCACUGAUGCUUCCAAAAAAUGCCCCUCUCUUCCACAGCGGUGUCAUGCGGUGAAGCCAAAGGGAUAGGGACUCAAACAAAUAAGUGUUGUAAUCACUGAAAUAAAUGUGUAUUAUUUAGUAACCUUAAUUAAAAUCCUGGCAGAUUCUGGAGCCCAGACUUCUUGCUUUGUGUUGCUAAUCACAAAGCCCGCUUUUUAUGUGGCGUCACAUUAUCAAUGCAUUCUCUGCUGACUGACUUUUCCUUUAUUUCCAGGCGUUAGUUCAUGACUACCUAUUUUCUCACUCUUCAGAAAUGUCUAUAGUUUGUCAUGCUUCAGCUUUAUGACUCUUGGCAUGAGCCCCUAGAGGCAAAUGGGCAACUGCUGCUCUCAUGCUACCAUGAACGUGCCCGAUUCUUCUCCCAGUCACAAAAUGCUGAGAUUAGCCACUGACAGUUAAAUUCAUGCAUAGUUGGUUAAUAUGAUGUGGUAUGUGAAACAAUCCAAUCCUGGUCACAAAUUCCUGGCAUUUUUAUAUUAUGUUUCCAUCCUUAUUUUGAAAUUGUGAAAUACGUUUGUUACCAUGAGUUAGAGUAUUUCUCCAAGUACUAACAAAAAAAAUAAUUAAAAACUGAAAUUGUUUCCUUGUACUGUCUGUGCCUCUGUAUCCACUUCUCUUGUCUUAGUCUUAGAUUGUAAGUUUUUGGGUCAGAAACCAUGUUUUUGUUCUGUAUUUGUACAGUGCCUAGCACAAUAGGGUCCUGGCCCAUGACUGGGGAUCUUAGGCAUUACCACAAUUCAAGUAAAUUUAUAAUUAUAGUAAUAAAAAUAAUGAUAAUGCAGUAAUUUGAGCUGAUCUAUCCUAAAGAAACACAAAUCAGUGAAAAAAUAAUGAUGGUGAUAGUUUUACAAUACAUACUAGUUUUUCUUUUAAUGAAUUCAUUGCUUGCGAGAGGUAGAUCAUCAGACUCAGAUACUACAGUCCAUUUAUGAAUAACAAAAGUUCAACAUGAGCAGCAGUACUGCAGGCUUUCUCACAGUAUCUCACCGAUCUGUUUCAACCCAGCUAUGAAGGGAGGAAAUGAGAAAGUAGCUUAUUCUGGCCCAUUCCAUCCUUGGAUUUCAGUUUUGAUGGCAAUCCUUAGUCACCAGGAACCCUCACUGAGACACCAAGCCAUUUCAAAUCGUAAGCUACUGAAGAACUGUCAUAAGGUAAUGACUUUCCCUCACUAACAACUCGCCUGGCUUCAGUCCGAUGAACUAGAAUGAAAGGCUCUGAGAUUUAUCAGCACCAAGCUCUUGAGCCAUUUGUGGGAGCAGCUAUUGUUAUGUAAGGAUGUGGGGGAAGUGGCAGAGACCAAAGGCCAUCUUCCAUUUGGAACGGCAGGGCUUUGAAUUCUAGGGCGGGAGAUAGAAUGGUGGCAGGUAGCAGCUUACAGCAGGAUCUCUUUUCUGGGUUAUAUAGUGCCUGAAUUAAAAUAACUGUUAAAUAAAAGCUCUCUAUGCCUUAAUAAGAACACUGCCACAUCAUUCAGUGCCCUGCUCCACAAUAUGUCUCAGAUUUAUUGCCAUAAAAGCACAGGGCAAAUCUAGAUACUGUGUGAGCCACAUGAAGACCCUGUCCGAUACACAUAGUGACCCUGUGCCUCCUAUCUGACACCCAGCCUCCUGUGGUUCUCUCCUGACUCCAUAUCAGCAUGGCUCCAAUAAAACCAUGCUGACAAUGCUUCCACCAAUCUCUGGAAUCCCACUUUAAAGAAGGCUGUGCAGGCAGAGGUGGUGCAUGAAAAAGUUAAGGUUGCCUCAGGUUUUAUUUACUUCUCCAAGGCUUGAAAAGGAGUGGGAUGUUGUGCAUCCCCCUUAGCUCUGCCCCAGCCCUCCUUCUAUUCCUGUCCUGUACAGUCCCCACUCUCUCCAUUUUACACUUUGAAUUUCUUGACUGUUUUCUGGAUAACUUUAUAACUUUAAACCUGCACUAAGAGGGCUUUUUUUUUCACUUAAUUUCCUUAGGAUUUAAAAAAAGAAAAAGAAGAGAAAAGGAACUAAUAUAUAUAUUUAAUAUGACACAUAUGUCAAUGAUAACUUAAGGGCCACUAAUUAAGAGUUUCAUAUUACUUCAUAUGAAGCACCUUUCAUAUGACCUUACCACUUAAUGUACAGUCAUACCACGUUAUUAGAGGGAAUGAGGCUGUGCUAAAUGACCUUGGGAGUUACAGGUAUGAGGCACUUCAGAGUUUAAUACUUUGUUUAUUAUUUCCCAUAAUUAUGUCACUGAAUUACUGAGAUUGUUGUAUAAACAUUAUUUAACAUUCAGAUUACUUAAAAAGUCUAAAUGAAGCUUUGAAAUAAAUUCAGAUUGAUUCCUAGGGAAUUGCUGAAUAAGAGAACCAAACCUAGAAAACAAAACCUGCAAAGUUGUUCAGCAAAUUGUUUACCUUAGUUUGUAACUUUGCAGGAAAUGGAUUGUAAGAAAACCCUGUUUCAACCUUACAACCAGAAAAGUAUUUCAGGGACUGCCAGGGAGGACCCCUUCUGUCACUUCUGGCUCCUGCUUAUGUUUCCAGGUAGGCUAUCACAGGCCAGUUCCAUUCAUCUUUCUCAGACAUGGACAGUGGUUGGAGGCUCCAGGAUCAGUGAUAAUAAAGGAGGGUUGGGCAAAAGUAACCUCAGUUCUACUCCACCUAGAAAUUUCUCCCUCAGAGCCAUCAAUCAUAAAAGAGUUGAUUACAUUUACCACCUUAGAGACGUUGACAUGCCUGCCAUAAGCUUUUGUGAGGAUUUCAGAUUUACUGUCUCCUGAGGGAUUCCAUUUACAUUGUUCAGGUACCAUAGUAUGUUGUGUGGGUUUGGUGCAGCAGAGCACAAUCAUGUUUUAACCUUUACCCAUUUGAUAAAUAGGAUCAUAGCUUUUAGGCUGAGGAUGAAGUGCCCUGGUAGUAAAGGUUAAAACAGUCUCCUCACUGAUUGUGGGGGCAAGUGGGUGAUUGGCAGCCAUCAUUUUCCCAAGGUUGGGAAUUAAGGUAUAUAAUAUUGUUAAUAAAUUGUAAACACACUAUCUGGAGUAGACAUGGGAUGUGUCAGCAGAUAUAGGCAGCCUAUAUGUGUGGAGUUUUGUGAUCCAAGAACAGUAGCUAGUCAUAAACAAGCCUUGUUACAAGCUACAGUAUCCUUAGUUUAUAGGUUAGAGGACAGCUUAGGGACAUCAUGCCCCCGCUAAGUGGUGAAUGUGUUCUGAAAGGACUGAGGCCAGCGAUGGGAAAAGGACUGUCCUUGCCUCUCUCCUUUCAUCAGCUGCCAGCUCACUUAGCCUGUGGGUCUAGUUUGUUUUUGUUUGUCUAGUAAUCAAGCUGUGGCCUCUUUAAUCAUCAGAACAUAACUAUUCUUUUCUUGUUCACAUGUGGCUAUGACCCGCAGCUCCAUCACAAUUCCCUUCUACUGCAUGUAACAUGAGCGUAACAUAGCCUCGUAAAACAUGCUCCACCAGCAGCUUGAUAGCCUCAGUUCAGACUCCCAUGUUGUAUAUACUCAAACCACCACAUUUCUCAGUACAAUUUGCCACUAGAGAGUAGCUCUCUAAAAUGCAAAGCUUUAGGCUAGAGAGGCAAUUGAUUCUUGAUUCUUAUUUACUUAUUGAGUAUGAACAUAAUUAGACUUUCAUCACAAAAUAUUAUCAUUAGCUGGUGCGAGUUUUGUUUGACGGGCCUGAUAAUCAAUCAUCAGAUUUCACCACUUGUUUUGUGGCGUUGUAUUUCAUCACUUGGUACAGUAUGUAACAUUAUAAAGCAUAAGUUUGUUAACUGAGUAUUUAUUUGAAUGGGUUUCAUUA